AUGGAGGACUUUCCUGGAAAAAACGAAGGGAAAUCCAUGAAAACGAUCGACAGCAGAAUCCAGCGGCUGGAGACUGGCUGCAGCAUCCCCCAGGGCAGAAUGAAGAGGGGGACAGUGGGGCAACCUGCGUGGACGCCCUUAGGCAUGGUUGGCCUUCUCUUCACUUCCCUGGAAGCCUUCGAAGCCAGGACCCAUGUUGAUGCCCCAUUUUCAUCCUCCCAAGAAGCGUGUGCUGCCUGUCAGGAGAACCAGCCCCUUGGACGGCAGCUGUUCUUAUCACGGGACAGAAAUCAGCAGAAGAAUCACUCUUUCUCGCCACUGAGAGCAAAUAAAGAUGGCCUUGGCAGAAAUACGUGCUAGGAUCACUGGCUUUUGUGUGUGGGUGGGUGGC
rnacentral:lncRNA from 1 species